UGGAAUUUCAUUCUCUGAAUUUCAAAAAUCAGAUUUUUGAAACCCUAUUUCCUGUAAAAAAAAAUUCCACUCAAUACCACUAAAGCUAAAAAUCGGGUUUUGGUUUGAAAGUCGUUUGCUUUUCUUCGAAAUAAUCAAAAGGGCUUUGAGAAGCGUCUGCUUGGGUCUUUCUAUCACUCUUAUCACCAGAGGGAGACAGCGACCGGGCCAGUCUUUGAGUUUGACGAAGACCACUAUUUCGUGUUGCAGAGCUUGUUUGCAGUUUUGGCUUCAACUUCCCUCAAGCUUCUAUCUCAAACAGACUCAACUACAACAAACAAGUUGAAUUUUGAAGUUACAUGAGUGGCGUCAGACAGAGGACCCUCGGGGGUGGGGGUCAGCAUGUGUUAGACUAUCUGAAACGAAUGCAAGCAGAAAAUCC